CAGCCGCCGCGGUAAUACGUAGGGUGCGAGCGUUGUCCGGAAUUACUGGGCGUAAAGAGCUCGUAGGCGGUUUGUCGCGUCGUCUGUGAAAUUCUGCAGCUUAACUGUAGGCGUGCAGGCGAUACGGGCAGACUUGAGUACUACAGGGGAGACUGGAAUUCCUGGUGUAGCGGUGAAAUGCGCAGAUAUCAGGAGGAACACCGGUGGCGAAGGCGGGUCUCUGGGUAGUAACUGACGCUGAGGAGCGAAAGCGUGGGUAGCGAACAGGAUUAGAUACCCCCGUAGUCCCUGUCUCUUAUAC
rnacentral:rRNA from 1 species